rnacentral:lncRNA from 1 species
GCUGUGGUGCAGGCUGGCAGGGCAGGAGCUGACCUUUCCGGAAUGGAAUGCUGCCUGAGCAGUCAGCUCCAGAAGGGAAGGGGGCGUUGGGCCACUUCCCUCACCCUCUCCAGUCCUCAGCUCCCCUGAGACAGGUCUCGGAGCCCUGGCCUCUCUUGUGGGGAAGGGGGCAGGUGAGGCUGGCUGACUGUGUGGACACUUGCCUGAUCACUUCAAGUCAAGCCACCUGGGCCAGGCUGAUUCCAACCUGACUAGGGAUAAGCUUCACAACAAAUCUACGAAGCAGACAGACGCUGUUUACCUCCUGGAGGCUAUCCAAGACCACACAGCUGGAACCAGGGUUUGCUCUACAGACCAUGGUCUCAGCGACGAUCACUGCUGCCUCCUGGGCAGGGACCACCCGAGGAACUGAGAAUGCUGGAAGCCAAGCUUGCACAUUCUAGGCAGCCAUUUGGAAGAUUCUUCUCUGCGCAUGACCAGCUGAAAAGGAAAAACCCCGAAACAUUGGCACUGUGAUUUCUCCAUGUGAACAGUUUAGUUCGCCGAGGUGGACAUGCCUCAUUCAUGCUUAUGGAGUGACCGACCAGCCUUUAGUGACACCCCCUGAAAUGUGAGUCAUCCAUGGGUCACUAGUCAUUGGAGAAGAGCCCCUUAUACAAAACUUGGAGCUCAGACCACAAACAACAACAACAAUCCAAAAAAUAAAAAAAUGAAAAAUUAGGAGCAGAGACUAAAUGGAAAGAUGGAAAUAUUAAAAUAAAAAUAUUA